rnacentral:lncRNA from 1 species
GUCAUCUUGAAAUUUUGUAAAUGGUACUUGUUUGGAGAGGAUUAUGUUGAGUUGUUAUAACUUACAUCCAAUCCUAUUGUAUAUUUAGACAAUAAAAUAUGUUUAAACUAAACCACAUAUUGACCUUUGAACAAUUAUAUUCACAGAAGUUUAAAGGGGGUAAUAUUAAAGUUUUAUAUGUGUAAAUUAAGAUCGUGUUCAUUGAUCGUUUUUUGUUAAAUCGCACAUGCCGUAUGCAUUCCUGGUUUUGUGCAGUUGUUUCGGUACUCAUGCAUUUAUAAAAAAAACUAUGUUAACAUACAUUACAAAACAAAAUCAAAAUUAAUCUAUCACAAAGAAUGCAUAAUCAAUCUUCAACUUUUAGAUACAGAUGUUGUGUUACCAUUAUUAUGAUUUUGCCAUAUCUAAUUGAAUUUUAUCAUUAUUUUAUUAUUAAUUUUAU